CUCAGUGGCCUCCUGUAUCCCCUCCAGACCAGGCUGCAAAAGAGGGGCACCAGGGAAAGCUUUUCCUGCCAUUCACCCCUGCAGGAUCCUGGCCAGGCAAGUAGCUGUGUGACCCUGGGUUGAGUCAUCCCCAUUUUACAGAGGGAAAACUGAGACUCCGGAGGUUUGCGACAUGGCCUGCUAACAGGCAGAGCCGGGAUUCAAAUCAAGAUCUCACUCCAGUGAGUGAAUGGGAACAGGAUGCAGAUGGUAGACACUGAACACGAAGAAGAAAGCACUGAGGCUGGGAUGGAGAAAGACUUGCUGGCCUUUGAAGGACACUGCAUAACGAAGAAAUUAGAUCCUUGACAAUAUCCCUCGGCAAAUGUUGUGAAGACAGACCUGUCGUGCGAUUUUUGUCAGGUGCUCCAGGAAGAUUACAACAGUCUGUACUCUUUACCAAUAAGGCGUGAAGGUGCCCAUUUCACCACGUUUUU
rnacentral:lncRNA from 10 species